ACGUAGGUGGCAAGCGUUGUCCGGAAUUACUGGGUGUAAAGGGAGCGUAGGCGGGGAGACAAGUUGAAUGUCUAAACUAUCGGCUUAACUGAUAGUCGCGUUCAAAACUAUCACUCUUGAGUGCAGUAGAGGUAGGCGGAAUUCCUAGUGUAGCGGUGAAAUGCGUAGAUAUUAGGAGGAACACCAGUGGCGAAGGCGGCCUACUGGGCUGUAACUGACGCUGAGGCUCGAAAGCGUGGGUAGCAAACAG
rnacentral:rRNA from 1 species